rnacentral:tRNA from 1 species
GGGGUUGUGGCUCAGAGGUAGAGCACUCACCUAGCAUGUGUGAGGCACUGGGUUCCAUCCUCAGCACCUCA